rnacentral:lncRNA from 1 species
GAUGGCUAGCGCAAGCGGAAAUGCUAUUGACGGUUACAUGCACCCAGGGAGUGGCAGGAAAUAAAGGAGGGAACCAGCAAAUUGCGCUCCUCUUUUGACUUUCUGAUUUGGACAGGGAGAUCAUGGCGACGCAGAGAGUGGCGAGGCAGGGAGCUUGGGAUUCAGGAGGAAUCCUUUUCCCCAGGCUUUGCUGAAGUGACUUUCUGCUCUCGCUACGCGAUCCGGCCCAGAUCUUCAGCCUCCUAUUUCCAGCAGUCCCCACUUUGCCUAUCAUCCCUCCUUUUCCCUGUUCUUCCCCUCAUCUCGAAAGAAAAAAAAGAAAAGGC